GCUUCUGUAGCUCAGUUGGUUAGAGUGCUGCACCGGAAUCGCAGGGCCGCAGGUUCGAUUCCUGCCAGAGGAC
rnacentral:tRNA from 1 species